UCCAACCUAAAAUGGCUGACAUCACAAGCUGUUAACCAGCCAAGCAGAGCAAGAGGCUGCUCCCGCUGCUGACCCAAACCUGGUGGCUGUGGACGUGCGAGUGGAUCGCGCUGCUCUUCCCCCAACAUUGUGAAAAAGGCUCUUGAGCAGCGGCUGACUCUGUUUUUGUGGUCAUAGUUGGUGGGGAUCUGCAAACAAAUUGUCAUUUUCAUGGGUCAGUACAGAGAGGUGGGAAAACUCACAGAUGAAAAGUCAUUACUGAGAGACUGCAAAGAACUGCUCUGGUUUAUGAAGUCGUCAGCGGGUCAAUAGAUGAGCUUAAAAUGGAAGCGAUUAAAGCAAAAAGACAGUGACUCUUAAGUGGCGAUGUGAACAAAAGUGCAAGGCCAAAAUAUGGUUUUAGUAAGUGAUUGCUGAUUGACCCUCGCACACAAAGCAGCUCAACCUGUGUCAGCUGCAAACCUAAAACAGAAGAGAAGGAGAAAAGGCUUGGAGGUGGAGAGACAGGGAGAGAGGGGAGAAGGGGGGACUAUUCAGUGAGACAUGAAGCCACAGAAACACAAUGAAACACAGUGAGACGAGGCAUCCCAACAGCAGUAGCAAUACUGUGCAUGUUUUCAUCUGUAAUUGGAAAUUCCCCAUAUCUGAUACAGUGACUCUGUAUUAUUGUUCCACAUGUGAUCAGUAGAAGUGUGAAAACUGGCUUGUUGUACGAGGAAAAGUUGCACCGUGGGUGAUAAACAGACAGCUGGAUUAAGCUGCGUCUAUGCCUGGGACUCACGUGGACAUCACACACAAAUUAGCUGUCUGGGAAAGCUUUGCUCUAAUCCCUGGAGUCACACACACUCAUGACAACACUGACAUGAUAAAUAACCAAGGCAACAGCUUGCAAACUCAUAACCGGCUGUUAGGGAACAUACAAUAAAACAUAAACUAUGAGAUGAAAUGUGUACACUAGCACGUGAACACCUUGACACUUGAGGAAUAACACACAAGCCUUUCAAUCUAUGAAACAGCAGGAUUAGUUAUGAGUGUCAAAGUGAUUUCUAACUUCUUCAUUCAAGCACAGAUUGAAGAAAUGGGCAAACUCUGGCAAUUCGUUGGGUGAAAAACGCACAGAUCUGGUUUUAACAUGAUCUGACAGCACCUAAUUGCUGCUGAUAUGAAAUAACAGUGUUUGGAAAUGUGAGCAAUUAGCAGUAUUGGGUGAGACUGCACAGAUACAAAGUAGCCGCACUGUAACGCUGGUCCCAGAGCGCAGCGGCGUCAAACAUUUCCGAAAAUGAUGCGUGUUCAUCUUCCGCUCAACUUAGGCGGAGUGAGACCCAACUUAAUGGGCUCGUCGGCGUUUUAGGUUUGGAACAGUGGAACCAAUUCAGAGCGGAGGGAAAAGGCAAGCCCCCCAGCCCAAAAAACUACUCUCCCUCACCCUCUCUCUCUCUCUCCCUUUCUCUCUCUCUCUCACCCCCCCGUCGGCUGUCGCCAUUUUAAGCAGGCGACAUGCAGCUGGCCAGCACCGCUGAGCCAAAGCGCAGCCCGCAAAGCCGACAACCGCGGAGCCAUCAGAAUGUUUCUGAAGACAGCAGCUGUCUGAGUUAUAUCCGAUGUUGAAUGUAUAUAAUGUGAAGAGGAAAGGAGACAGCACAGUUCCUUGUGGGGCCCCUGCACUGCAGACGAUUUUGUUGGACACACAUUUCUGCAGCCGAACAUACUGUGGUCUGCAGAUCAGAUAGUCCAUGACCCAGGAGACCAGCGCUGCCUCCACCUGCAUCAUCCUCAUCUUCUCACCAAGCAGCCCCAACUUGAUAGUGCUGAAGACACUCAAAAAUAAAAAACAUAUUCCUCACAGUCGCAUCUACGGUAUACAGAUGUCCAUAGGUCCUCUGUAGCAUGUAGAUGAGGGCAUCAUCCCCACCAAUGCUGGACUGAUAGGGGAAAUGCAGGGUAGGUCCUCACCCUGCGUCUUAGAUGGGAGAGGACCAGUUUCUUCAGUGUUUUCAUGAAGUGAGAAGUGAGGGCUACAGGUCUGUAGUAACAGGAGUCAGUAAGAUGUUUCCUCUUGGGGACAGAGACUAUGCAGGAUGUUUCCCACAGCGCGGGGAUCUUCUGCCCAUUCAAGCUGGGGUUGAACAGCUAUGUGAGGAUGUCACACUGACUGGGGCAGACCUUCAGCAGUCUGGGGCUGAUACCAUCAGGACCAGCAGCUUUGCCCCGUUUCAGCCUGUCCAGUUCACUUUUCACCCAAAAUGACUGGAUUGUUAAGGAUGAGAUGGUGGACCAGCUGGGGGAAGGAGGGUGAGAUUGAGUCAGUGAGGGAGGAGUGAUGGUGAGUGAUUUAUGCACAAUAUUGCAUUUAAACAUGCAGUGUUUCAAAUUCAUGUGCAAUAUCUCAUAUUUAGGUACAAUAUUUCAUUUUCAGGUGCAAUGCUUCAACUCAAUGUCCAACAUUUUAUAUUUAGGUGUAAAUGUGUCAUUACCAUGUGCAGUUUUUUAAAUUUAUAGGGACAAUUUCACAUUCAGAUGCAGUAUUUCAGUUACAAAGUUACAAGUGCAACAUGUCAUGGUCAUGUGCAAUGUUUCACUUUCAUGUGCCUGUUUUCAGUUUAAUCUGCGAUAUUCCAUUUUCAGAUGUAAAAUCUCAUUAAAAAAAAAAUCUGAGCCA